rnacentral:rRNA from 1 species
CCUACGGGCGGCAGCAGUGAGGAAUAUUGGUCAAUGGGCGUAAGCCUGAACCAGCCAAGUCGCGUGAGGGAUGAAGGUUCUAUGGAUCGUAAACCUCUUUUAUAAGGGAAUAAAGUGUGCGACGCGUCCUAUUUUGUAUGUACCUUAUGAAUAAGGAUCGGCUAACUCCGUGCCAGCAGCCGCGGUAAUACGGAGGAUCCGAGCGUUAUCCGGAUUUAUUGGGUUUAAAGGGUGCGUAGGCGGCCAUUUAAGUCAGCGGUGAAAGUCUGUGGCUCAACCAUAGAAGUGCCGUUGAAACUGGGGGGCUUGAGUAUGUUAGAGGCAGGCGGAAUGCGUGGUGUAGCGGUGAAAUGCUUAGAUAUCACGCAGAACCCCGAUUGCGAAGGCAGCAUGCCGGGCCAUGACUGACGCUGAUGCACGAAAGCGUGGGGAUCAAACAGGAUUAGAUACCCUUGUAGUC